rnacentral:rRNA from 1 species
CUACGGAGGGGACUAGCGUUGUUCGGAAUUACUGGGCGUAAAGAGUUCGUAGGCGGACUGAUAAGUAAGAGGUGAAAUCACAGGGCUCAACCCUGGAACUGCCUUUUAAACUGUCAGUCUAGAGACCGGAAGAGGUUAGGGGAAUACCUAGUGUAGAGGUGAAAUUCGUAGAUAUUAGGUGGAACGCCAGUGGCGAAGGCGCCUAACUGGUCCGGUACUGACGCUGAGGAACGAAAGCGUGGGGAGCAAACAGAAUUAGAAACCCUAGUAGUCC